CCUCAGCCUGGUUGGCAAUCAGGUGUUGAGUGUAAGUGCACAAGGGAGCUUGACUGUGAGACCGACGGGUCGAGCAGGGACGAAAGUCGGGACUAGUGAUCCGGCAGUGGCUUGUGGAAGCGCUGUCGCUCAACGGAUAAAAGGUACCCCGGGGAUAACAGGCUGAUCUUCCCCAAGAGUCCAUAUCGACGGGAUGGUUUGGCACCUCGAUGUCGGCUCGUCGCAUCCUGGGGCUGGAGUCGGUCCCAAGGGUUGGGCUGUUCGCCCAUUAAAGCGGUACGCGAGCUGGGUUUAGAACGUCGUGAGACAGUUCGGUCCCUAUCCGCUGCGCGCGCAGGAAUAUUGAGAAGGGCUGUCCCUAGUACGAGAGGACCGGGACGGACGAACCUCUGGUGUGCCAGUUGUCCUGCCAAGGGCAUGGCUGGUUGGCUACGUUCGGAAAGGAUAACCGCUGAAAGCAUCUAAGCGGGAAGCCUGCUUCGAGAUGAGUAUUCCCACCCCCUUUGAGGGGUUAAGGCUCCCAGUAGACGACUGGGUUGAUAGGCCAGAUGUGGAAGCCCGGUAACGGGUGGAGCUGACUGGUACUAAUAGGCCGAGGGCUUGUCCUCAGUUG
rnacentral:rRNA from 1 species